GGUAUUCUUUCCAUUCUCUGUUUCCAAUUUUAUCUCUUCUUCCUCUUCUUCGUUCUUCUACUCCUUCAUCUUCAGUUCUUCUUCUUUUUUCCUCCUCCGUUUACUGAUUCUAUUUUCGUAUAAUCUUCUUCUUCUUCCGUAGUUUUUAUUCAUCUUCUUCUUUUUAUUUCUUAUUAUUCCUAAUUUAAGUCAGAUUAGAGUUAGUGUACGCACUGAGAAAGAGAUUGUCACUGUACCUGAUAGCUCCAACCUUUAGGAGAGUCAUCUCGGUGGAGGCAACGCUAUCACUGGUGGUAGGAUUGCGGCGGUGGAUGAGAUUACGACUGCUAUGGUGGUGGACCAUGCUAUGGCAGUGGUGGUCGCAGUGGGUGCGGUGGAGUUCGUGGUGAUCUUCAAUGCUGUAGUGAUGGAUACGGAGGAGGAAGCGGCGGAAGAGAGCAGAUCGCUGGAAGAGGGAAGAAGUAGAGACACGACAGGAAAGAGCGAGAGAUUCAUACUGGCGUCGACAACAAUGGGCAUGCAAUUUGGUGAGGCAGAGAUGAUUCGAAUGGCAAUAGACAAAACGGAAGAGAAGUCAUAGUUGCAGCACUAGAAGCGGCCAUCAAUGGUCUUGGUGCGAUGAUUCUGUAUUCUCUGUUUAUAGGCGUCUUUGCCUGGUGUGGAGCUUUUGAUGCAGAAAAUCCAUAACCUCAUUGUUGUUGCCAGGAUUCUAUUGGCAAUUCCCCAAAAGGUCUUAAUCUCUGUCCCUCUUAUCUUCAAUUUGCAUCCAAUGUACAAACCAAAUGAAAUUGUUAAGUAAUGCAGCAUGAACUAAUCAUUUUUUCUUUGGUUUUUGAUGUCCUAGCUUUUGUAUUUUCAGAGAAUAUAUUCAUUUUCAUCAUCCUCAUAGAUAAUAUUUUUCAAUUUUUUUCUUCUCAUCACUCUAAUAACGGAG